GCUCCCUAAAGGAAGGUCUAUGCGAGCACCGAGACUCUCGUGAUAGUGCCAUACAGUUAAUUUUUUUCGUUUUUUGACAGCAGGUCAUUGUGGAGUCAUUGUGAUCCUGUUUCGAUUUUCCUAAUUUGUGCCUCAACAUUCCUACCUGAGAUGACUCUCAAAGAUAGUUUUAUGAGAGCUACGCUGCUUAUGAGAAUAGCCGUGAUAGUUGCCUUUGUUGCACAGGCAUGCAGUUGGGUCUCCUUUACAACCACGUCAUGGACUAGAGGAUAUUUUGAUCCUCUAGAAGGGAGAAGCCUUCCUUACAUAGGAUUGUGGAGAUCAUGCAGCUAUUCACCACCUAAAUUUGCUAGUGGAUGCAAUUUUUUGGAUGGCACAC
rnacentral:sRNA from 1 species